rnacentral:lncRNA from 1 species
UUCAUUCGCCACACAUGCACAUCUUGAUUUGACUUAUUGACUUGUUCUUCUGGAUCCUUGGUUUGACUAUGCAAUAAGUGUCUUGUAAGUAUUUAUUAGCUGUCUCCCACCUAUGAGCUCCAGAUAUCAAAACCUUAUUAGAGUAGGGUGAGAGAGAAGGCAAUACCACUAUGCCUCAUACCAAAAAUACCACAUACUUUGAGAAAAGGCAUAUACCAUUACUGCCUUGGUAAGGAUCCAUAAAUACCACAAAAGAGAGACUAGAGAGAGUCAUACAAGGAAUCUCUGAGUUUUAUUUGAAAAUCUACAAGAACUCCAGAGCUAUAGUUAAUCGAAGAACAAGAGACAUGACGCUUGACUAGACCGUUCUAUCUUUUAACUGCUCAAGACAUAAGUGACGGUUGCAAGCCCCAUGGUGGAAGGUAAAAUG